GACGAACGCUGGCGGCGUGCUUAACACAUGCAAGUCGAACGAAGAGCGACGGAAGCUUGCUUCUAUCAAUCUUAGUGGCGAACGGGUGAGUAACGCGUAAUCAACCUGCCCUUCAGAGGGGGACAACAGUUGGAAACGACUGCUAAUACCGCAUACGAUCUAAUCUCGGCAUCGAGGAUAGAUGAAAGGUGGCCUCUACAUGUAAGCUAUCACUGAAGGAGGGGAUUGCGUCUGAUUAGCUAGUUGGAGGGGUAACGGCCCACCAAGGCGAUGAUCAGUAGCCGGUCUGAGAGGAUGAACGGCCACAUUGGGACUGAGACACGGCCCAGACUCCUACGGGAGGCAGCAGUGGGGAAUCUUCCGCAAUGGACGAAAGUCUGACGGAGCAACGCCGCGUGAGUGAUGACGGCCUUCGGGUUGUAAAGCUCUGUUAAUCGGGACGAAAGGCCUUCUUGCGAAUU
rnacentral:rRNA from 1 species